UACGUAGGGUGCAAGCGUUGUCCGGAAUUAUUGGGCGUAAAGAGCUCGUAGGCGGUUUGUCGCGUCUUCCGUGAAAACUGGGGGCUUAACUUCCAGCUUGCGGUGGAUACGGGCUGACUGGAGUGCGGCAGGGGAGACUGGAAUUCCUGGUGUAGCGGUGAAAUGCGCAGAUAUCAGGAGGAACACCGGUGGCGAAGGCGGUUCUCUGGGCAUGUCCUGACGCUGAGGAGCGAAAGUGUGGGGAGCGAACAGG
rnacentral:rRNA from 1 species